AGGAUUAACGCUGGCGGCGUACACGAUGCAUGCAAGUCGAGCGUGGUUUAUCGGCUUCGGUUGAUAAAUCUAGCGGCGAACGGGUGAGUAACACGUGAGCAACCUACCUUUUAGUUUGGGAUAGCCCUGCGAAAGCAGGAUUAAUACCGAAUGUGGACACAGCACGACAUCGUGAGGUGUGUAAAGCAGUAAUGCGCUAAUAGAUGGGCUCGCGGCCUAUUAGCUUGUUGGUGGGGUAAUGGCCUACCAAGGCGGUGAUGGGUAGCUGGUCUGAGAGGACGAUCAGCCACAUUGGGACUGAGACACGGCCCAAACUCCUACGGGAGGCAGCAGUGGGGAAUAUUGGACAAUGGGCGCAAGCCUGAUCCAGCAAUGCCGCGUGGGUGAAGAAGGUCUUCGGAUUGUAAAGCCCUUUCGACGGGGACGAUGAUGACGGUACCCGUAGAAGAAGCCCCGGCUAACUUCGUGCCAGCAGCCGC
rnacentral:rRNA from 1 species